rnacentral:rRNA from 1 species
UAGGUGGUUUGUUAAAGUUGGAUGUGAAAGCCCCGGGCUCAACCUGGAACUGCAUUCAAAACUGGCGACUAGAGUAUGGAGAGGUGAGUGGAAUUUCCUGUGUAGCGGUGAAAUGCGUAGAGAUGGGAAGGAACAUCGGUGGCGAAGGCGACUCUCUGGACCAAUACUGACACUGAGGUACGAAAGCGUGGGUAGCAAACAGGAUUAGAUACCCUGGUAGUCCACGCCGUAAACGAUGUCUACUAGUCGUUGGGGUCCUUGAGACUUUAGUGGCGCAGCUAACGCAAUAAGUAGACCGCCUGGGGAGUACGGUCGCAAGAUUAAAACUCAAAUGAAUUGACGGGGGCCCGCACAAGCGGUGGAGCAUGUGGUUUAAUUCGAAGCAACGCGAAGAACCUUACCUAGUCUUGACAUCCAGAGAAUUUAGCAGAGAUGCGUUAGUGCCUUCGGGAACUAUGAGACAGGUGCUGCAUGGCUGUCGUCAGCUCGUGUUGUGAAAUGUUGGGUUAAGUCCCGUAACGAGCGCAACCCUUGUCCUUAGUUACCAACAUUAAGUUGAGAACUCUAAGGAGACUGCCGGUGACAAACCGGAGGAAGGGGGGGAGGAGGUCAAGUCAUCAUGGCCCCUAUGAGUAGGGGUACACACGUGUUACAAUGGCCAGUACAAAGGGUUGCCAAGCCGCGAGGUGGAGCUAAUCCCAGAAAACUGGUCUUAGUCCGGAUCGGAGUCUGCAACUCGACUCCGCGAAGUCGGAAUCGCUAGUAAUCGUGAAUCAGAAUGUCACGGGGAAUACGUUCCUAGGCCUUGUACACACCCCCCGUCACACCACAAGAGAAGCUCUACCGUAGAUCGUGGCUCAGUAAGUCGUAACAAGUAACCACUAGA